GUGGGGUGAAGAGUCCUAGUGAUCUUAGACUCUUACAGGAUUCCACCUCUCUUCACAAUUUCACAUCCUAAAAUAUAUCAAAAAAAAUGGGAUGCCCCUUUCUAUAUUUUUUUAUAGUAAAUUAGUUCUUUAUCUAAUCUAUCACAAAAAAAUCUCUUCAAAAUAUCACACAUAUAAGGAGAAAAAAAUUUAUUGGCAUGAAGAGGU
rnacentral:lncRNA from 1 species